UACAGAGGUCCCAAGCGUUGUUCGGAUUCACUGGGCGUAAAGGUGCGUAGGCGGUCGGGUAAGUCUGUCGUGAAAUCUCCGAGCCCAACUCGGAAACUGCGUCGGAUACUAUUCGGCUAGAGGAAUGGAGGGGAGACUGGAAUUCUCGGUGUAGCAGUGAAAUGCGUAGAUAUCGAGAGGAACACCAGUGGCGAAGGCGGCUCACUGGACCGGUACUGACGCUGAUGCGCGAAAGCGUGGGGAGCAAACAGG
rnacentral:rRNA from 1 species